UACGUAGGGUGCGAGCGUUAAUCGGAAUUACUGGGCGUAAAGCGUGCGCAGGCGGUGCACCAAGCUCGAUGUGAAAGCCCCGGGCUUAACCUGGGAAUUGCAUUGAGGACUGGUGUGCUCGAGUGCGGCAGAGGGGGGUGGAAUUCCCGGUGUAGCAGUGAAAUGCGUAGAGAUCGGGAGGAAUAUCUGUGGCGAAGGCGACUGCCUGGACCAGCACUGACACUGAGGCACGAAAGCGUGGGGAGCAAACAGG
rnacentral:rRNA from 1 species